rnacentral:sRNA from 1 species
UGUCAGAGAAAGGGGUUUCAGGGAGCCUAGAUAUCUCAGAAGGGGAAUGGAGAUAUCUAGAGGAUAUAGGGAACCACGGGGAAGACCUAACAUUGUUUUGCUUUCUUAUAAUUCUUAAAAUUCUCAGAAGCCACCGCUGAACUGACCGUCUCAUUCACAAACAAAGUCUUCACAACUGAGACUUCUAGGAGUAUCACCGCCAGUCCAAAGGAGUCAGACUCUCCAGCUGGUCCUGUCCACCAGUACUACACCAAGGGCAACCUGGUCCGGAUAUGCCUUGGGGCUGUGAUCCUAAUACUCCUGGCGGGGUUUCUGGCAGAGGACUGGCACAGCCGGAGGAAGCGCCUGCGGCACAGGGUCAGGGCUGUGCAGAGGCCGCUUCCGCCCCUCCCGCAGACCCAGAAAUCACACGGGGGUCAGGAUGGAGGCCGACCGGAUGUUCACAGCCGCGGGUUAUGUUCAUGACUACUGAACCCCAGGCAUGGUCGUAUCCAAGGGACGGAUCAUGGCAUGGGAGGUGACUCAAAGACUGUGGCGUGUGUGGAGCGUGGAAGCAGGAGGGCAGAGGCUACAGCUGUGGAAAGGAGGCCAUGCUGCCUCCUCCUGGUGUUCCCUCAAGGAGCCGUUCAGCCAGUGUCUGUCUGUCUGUCUGGCUCUCUGUCUGAGCGCACCCUCCAUUUGGGAUGGAAGGAAUCUGUGGAGACCCCAUCCUCCUCCUUGCACACUGUGGAUGACAUGGUACCCUGGCUGGACCACAUACUGGCCUCUUUCUUCAACCCUCUCUAAUAUGGGCUCCAGACGGAUCUCUAACGUUCCCAGCUCUCAGGGUUGACUCCGUUCCACCCUCUGUGAAAAACCCUCCC